CGGUCCCGCGCAAGGUCGACCUGUGAACCAUGUCAGGCGGGGAACCGAGCAGCAUUAAGCAGUGCUCGAUUUGUGCCGCGGUCAGCCGGU
rnacentral:SRP_RNA from 1 species